GUGCUUGCUUCAGCAGCACACAUACUAAAAUUGGAAUGAUACAGAGAAGAUUAGCAUGGCCCCUGCGCAAGGAUGACACGCAAAUUUGUGAAGUGGUCCAUAUUUUU
ensembl:snRNA U6 U6 spliceosomal RNA